rnacentral:rRNA from 1 species
UGAAUACGAGACGCUAAGGCGUCGAAGUAGUGUAUGUCAUACUUCCAAGAAAAGCUUGCACUGUCAUAGAUAAAAAACGCCUGUACCAUAACCGACACAGGUGGGUAGGUAGAGUAUACUAAGGGGCGCGAGAUAACUCUCUCUAAGGAACUCGGCAAAAUAACUCCGUAACUUCGGGAGAAGGAGUGCCUUAUUCGUAAGGUUGCAAUAACAAGAUCCAAGCAACUGUUUAUCAAAAACACAGGUCUCCGCUAAGUCGUAAGACGAUGUAUGGGGGCUGACGCCUGCCCAGUGCCAGAAGGUUAAAGAAGUUGGUUAGCAAUUGCGAAGCUGAUAACUGAAGCCCUGGUGAACGGCGGCCGUAACGAUAACGGUCCUAAGGUAGCGAAAUUCCUUGUCGGGUAAGUUCCGACCCGCACGAAAGGCGUAAUGAUUUGGAUACUGUCUCGGAGAGGGGCUCGGUGAAAUAGACUUGUCUGUGAAGAUGCGGACUACCUGCACCAGGACAGAAAGACCCUAUGAAGCUUUACUGUAACUUGAAAUUGAAAUUGGACUUUAUUCGCGCAGUAUAGGUGGGAGGCGUUGAUUAUAAUCUUGUGGGAUUAUUGGAGCCAUCAGUGAGAUACCACUCUUGUAAUGUUAGAUUUCUAACUUUGAAUCAUUAUCUGGUCAAAGAACAGUUUCAGGCGGGCAGUUUGACUGGGGCGGUCGCCUCCUAAACGGUAACGGAGGCUACAAAGGUUUCCUCUGAACGGUUAGAAAUCGUAUCUAGAGUGUAAAGGCAUAAGGAAGCUUGACUGUGAGACCUACAAGUCGAGCAGGGACGAAAGUCGGUCUUAGUGAUCUGACGGUACUGAGUGGAAAGGCCGUCACUCAACGGAUAAAAGUUACUCUAGGAUAACAGGCUGAUCUCCCCCAAGAGUUCACAUCGACGGGGAGGUUUGGCACCUCGAUGUCGGCUCAUCGCAUCCUGGGGCGGUAGUACGUCCCAAGGGUUGGGCUGUUCGCCCAUGAAAGCGGUACGCGAGCUGGGUUCAGAACGUCGUGAGACAGUUCGGUCCAUAUCCGGUGUAGGCGUUAGAAUAUUGAGAGGAGCCUUCUUUAGUACGAGAGGACCGAGAAGGACAUACCUCUGGUGUACCAGUUAUCGUGCCAACGGUAAACGCUGGGUAGCUAUGUAUGGAGUGGAUAACCGCUGAAAGCAUCUAAGUGGGAAGCCCACCUCAAGAUAAGUAUUCCC